rnacentral:lncRNA from 12 species
GAAAAGAGUGUUAUUCUCACUGCAUUUUGGAGCCACCCAGCACAUGUCCUCCAGAAGCUGUUUGUCAUGGGAAAGAGCUGCUACACCGAGGGGGAAAAGACUGAGAAGAUCGGAGCUCUCAUUUAGAUUCCUCUCUGCUUAUAAAUUGACCCCAGAAAAUCUGAACACUUUCCCAUGGAAAUGUUAUUGAUGGGACUAUUUCACUGCAAGAUGUUCUGGUUUGGAUGAAGCAGCGUUUUCCAACAACAAUGACAAGAAAUCUCAUUAAAAUGUUUGAGUAGCUCCAGUCUCCAAAAGCAGCAAGUGGCUUUUUGAGCAUCUUCA